AUGAACGCUAGCUACAGGCUUAACACAUGCAAGUCGAGGGGCAGCAUGGUCUUAGCUUGCUAAGGCCGAUGGCGACCGGCGCACGGGUGAGUAACACGUAUCCAACCUGCCGUCUACUCUUGGACAGCCUUCUGAAAGGAAGAUUAAUACAAGAUGGCAUCAUGAGUCCGCAUGUUCACAUGAUUAAAGGUAUUCCGGUAGACGAUGGGGAUGCGUUCCAUUAGAUAGUAGGCGGGGUAACGGCCCACCUAGUCUUCGAUGGAUAGGGGUUCUGAGAGGAAGGUCCCCCACAUUGGAACUGAGACACGGUCCAAACUCCUACGGGAGGCAGCAGUGAGGAAUAUUGGUCAAUGGGCGAGAGCCUGAACCAGCCAAGUAGCGUGAAGGAUGACUGCCCUAUGGGUUGUAAACUUCUUUUAUAAAGGAAUAAAGUCGGGUAUGCAUACCCGUUUGCAUGUACUUUAUGAAUAAGGAUCGGCUAACUCCGUGCCAGCAGCCGCGGUAAUACGGAGGAUCCGAGCGUUAUCCGGAUUUAUUGGGUUUAAAGGGAGCGUAGAUGGAUGUUUAAGUCAGUUGUGAAAGUUUGCGGCUCAACCGUAAAAUUGCAGUUGAUACUGGAUAUCUUGAGUGCAGUUGAGGCAGGCGGAAUUCGUGGUGUAGCGGUGAAAUGCUUAGAUAUCACGAAGAACUCCGAUUGCGAAGGCAGCCUGCUAAGCUGCAACUGACAUUGAGGCUCGAAAGUGUGGGUAUCAAACAGGAUUAGAUACCCUGGUGGUCCACACGGUAAACGAUGAAUACUCGCUGUUUGCGAUAUACUGCAAGCGGCCAAGCGAAAGCGUUAAGUAUUCCACCUGGGGAGUACGCCGGCAACGGUGAAACUCAAAGGAAUUGACGGGGGCCCGCACAAGCGGAGGAACAUGUGGUUUAAUUCGAUGAUACGCGAGGAACCUUACCCGGGCUUAAAUUGCAGAUGAAUUACGGUGAAAGCCGUAAGCCGCAAGGCAUCUGUGAAGGUGCUGCAUGGUUGUCGUCAGCUCGUGCCGUGAGGUGUCGGCUUAAGUGCCAUAACGAGCGCAACCCUUGUUGUCAGUUACUAACAGGUUCCGCUGAGGACUCUGACAAGACUGCCAUCGUAAGAUGUGAGGAAGGUGGGGAUGACGUCAAAUCAGCACGGCCCUUACGUCCGGGGCUACACACGUGUUACAAUGGGGGGUACAGAGGGCCGCUACCACGCGAGUGGAUGCCAAUCCCCAAAACCUCUCUCAGUUCGGACUGGAGUCUGCAACCCGACUCCACGAAGCUGGAUUCGCUAGUAAUCGCGCAUCAGCCACGGCGCGGUGAAUACGUUCCCGGGCCUUGUACACACCGCCCGUCAAGCCAUGGGAGCCGGGGGUACCUGAAGUGCGUAACCGCGAGGAGCGCCCUAGGGUAAAACUGGUGACUGGGGCU
rnacentral:rRNA from 1 species